GACUAGGUGGCGAACGUUAUCCGGAUUUAUUGGGCGUAAAGGAUGCGUAGGUGGUAGAGCAAGUUAUUGGUCAAAGUCAGGCUCAACUUGACGGAAGCUAGUAAAACUAUUCUGCUAGAGGAUGGGAGAGGUAAGCGGAAUUCCUGGUGUAGCGGUGAAAUGCGUAGAUAUCAGGAGGAACACCUGUGGUGUAGACAGCUUACUGGACCAUUUCUGACGCUGAGACACGAAAGCGUGGGGAGCAAACAGG
rnacentral:rRNA from 1 species